rnacentral:rRNA from 1 species
CCUACGGGAGGCAGCAGUGAGGAAUAUUGGUCAAUGGCCGUAAGGCUGAACCAGCCAAGUAGCGUGAGGGAAGACUGCCCUAUGGGUUGUAAACCUCUUUUAUGCGGGGAUAAAGGUGUCCACGUGUGGAUGUUUGCAGGUACCGCAUGAAUAAGGACCGGCUAAUUCCGUGCCAGCAGCAGCGGUAAUAGGGAGGAUCCGAGCGUUAUCCGGAUUUAUUGGGUUUAAAGGGAGCGUAGAUGGGUUGUUAAGUCAGUUGUGAAAGUUUGCGGCUUAACAGUAAAAUUGCAAUUGAUACUGGCAGUCUUGAGUACAGUUGAGGUAGGCGGAAUUCGUGGUGUAGCGGUGAAAUGCUUAGAUAUCACGAAGAACCCCGAUUGCGAAGGCAGCUUACUAAACUGUGACUGACAUUGAUGCUCGAAAGCGUGGGUAUCAAACAGGAUUAGAUACCCUUGUAGUC